UACGUAGGGACCAAGCGUUGUCCGGAAUCAUUGGGCGUAAAGAGCGUGUAGGCGGCCUGUUAAGUCUUGCGUGAAAUCUCGGGGCUCAACCCCGAGCGGUCGUGAGAAACUGGCAGGCUAGAGUGCGGGAGAGGAGACUGGAAUUCAUGGUGUAGCAGUGAAAUGCGUAGAGAUCAUGAGGAAGACCAGUGGCGAAGGCGGGUCUCUGGACAGUUCCUGACACUGAGGCACGAAGGCCAGGGGAGCAAACGGG
rnacentral:rRNA from 1 species